AGGAGAGGAAGGUAGAAUUCCCGGUGUAGCGGUGAAAUGCGUAGAGAUCGGGAGGAAUACCAGUGGCGAAGGCGGCCUUCUGGACUGACACUGACACUGAGGUGCGAAAGCGUGGGUAGCAAACAGGAUUAGAUACCCUGGUAGUCCACGCCGUAAACGAUGUCGACCAGCCGUUGGGUGCCUAGCGCACUUUGUGGCGAAGUUAACGCGAUAAGUCGACCGCCUGGGGAGUACGGCCGCAAGGUUAAAACUCAAAUGAAUUGACGGGGGCCCGCACAAGCGGUGGAGCAUGUGGUUUAAUUCGAUGCAACGCGAAGAACCUUACCUACUCUUGACAUCCUGCGAAUUCGGUAGAGAUACCUUAGUGCCUUCGGGAGCGCAGAGACAGGUGCUGCAUGGCUGUCGUCAGCUCGUGUUGUGAAAUGUUGGGUUAAGUCCCGUAACGAGCGCAACCCUUGUCCUUAUUUGCCAGCACGUAAUGGUGGGAACUCUAAGGAGACUGCCGGUGACAAACCGGAGGAAGGUGGGGACGACGUCAAGUCAUCAUGGCCCUUACGAGUAGGGCUACACACGUGCUACAAUGGCCGGUACAAAGGGCUGCGAGCUCGCGAGAGUCAGCGAAUCCCUUAAAGCCGGUCUCAGUCCGGAUCGGAGUCUGCAACUCGACUCCGUGAAGUCGGAAUCGCUAGUAAUCGUGAAUCAGAAUGUCACGGUGAAUACGUUCCCGGGCCUUGCACACACCGCCCGU
rnacentral:rRNA from 1 species